rnacentral:rRNA from 1 species
CUGGCUCAGGAUGAACGCUAGCGGCAGGCUUAACACAUGCAAGUCGAGGGGCAGCGCGGGGCGGCAACGUCCUGGCGGCGACCGGCGGAAGGGUGCGUAACGCGUGAGCGACAUGCCCGUUGCCCGGGGACAACCGGUGGAAACGCCGACUAAUCCCCGAUGGGAUAUUGUGCCGCAUGGCAUUGUAUUGAAAGUUACGGCGGCGACGGAUUGGCUCGCGUCCGAUUAGCUGGUUGGCGGGGUGACGGCCCACCAAGGCUACGAUCGGUAGGGGUUCUGAGAGGAAGGCCCCCCACAAUGGGACUGAGACACGGCCCAUACUCCUACGGGAGGCAGCAGUGAGGAAUAUUGGUCAAUGGGCGGAAGCCUGAACCAGCCAUGCCGCGUGCGGGAAGGAGGCCCUAUGGGCUGUGAACCGCUUUUGCCUGGGGGCAAUAAGGGCGUCGCGCACGUCCGAUGAGAGUACCAGGCGAAUAAGCAUCGGCUAACUCCGUGCCAGCAGCCGCGGUAAUACGGGGGAUGCGAGCGUUAUCCGGAUUCAUUGGGUUUAAAGGGUGCGUAGGCUGUGCGUCAAGUCGGGGGUGAAAUUCCGGUGCUCAACACCGGGGCUGCCCUUGAUACUGUCGCGCUGGAGUGCGGAUGCCGCCGGAGGAAUGAGUGGUGUAGCGGUGAAAUGCUUAGAUAUCACUCAGAACACCGAUUGCGAAGGCAUCUGGCGAAUCCGUAACUGACGCUGAGGCACGAAAGCGUGGGGAUAGAACAGGAUUAGAUACCCUGGUAUUCCACGCCGUAAACGAUGAUGGCUAACCGCCGGCGACACACUGUCGGUGGCCAAGCGAAAGCGAUAAGCCAUCCACCUGGGGAGUACGUCGGCAACGAUGAAACUCAAAGGAAUUGACGGGGGCCCGCACAAGCGGAGGAACAUGUG